AUUGAACGCUGGCGGCAUGCUUUACACAUGCAAGUCGAACGGUAACAGGCCUUCGGGUGCUGACGAGUGGCGAACGGGUGAGUAAUGCAUCGGAACGUACCCAGAGGUGGGGGAUAACGCAGCGAAAGCUGUGCUAAUACCGCAUGUGAUCUGAGGAUGAAAGCGGGGGACCGAGCAGCAAUGUUUGGCCUCGCGCCUUUGGAGCGGCCGAUGUCGGAUUAGCUAGUUGGUGGGGUAAAGGCCUACCAAGGCGACGAUCCGUAGCUGGUCUGAGAGGACGACCAGCCACACUGGGACUGUGACACGGCCCAGACUCCUACGGGAGGCAGCAGUGGGGAAUUUUGGACAAUGGGCGCAAGCCUGAUCCAGCAAUGCCGCGUGCGGGAAGAAGGCCUUCGGGUUGUAAACCGCUUUUGGCAGGAACGAAACGGUGUCCGCUAAUACCGGGCGCUAAUGACGGUACCUGCAGAAUAAGCACCGGCUAACUACGUG
rnacentral:rRNA from 1 species